CUGCAAUAUAAAUCCCACUUCAAUUAUACAUUGUUCUGAAAUGCUUGGCUUUGGCUCAUAAACUCUUUGAUACAAUGUAAAUUGUAUAAUUGGGUGUGGCCCCCAAUGUUCUAUGUUCUAACUUGCUCCCUCUCUAUAUUGUAGUUUUGCUCAACUCCUUUCAGGACAAGUAACAUACCAGGCUAUUUUUCCUCCAGUUAUUACUGAAUGGUGUUAUACUAACACCUAUCCAAAACAAUAUAUUACAGGGGGAUACAACUCACCUGAAAAACCAAAGAAAUACAG